AAUUGAAGGCUCCGCGCAAAGGGAAGGACCUAACGCGUAAAUUGUCCAUUUGAAAGAACAAGGCGCGGAUCCAGGUACUCUAAUAGGCUAGCGCGCGGAUCCUUAAAAGCAUGGUCCAGCACCACGUUUUUUUUCAAUGAAUUUAAAACCCUUUUUCAUCCUUUUUUCCCAAAUGCUGCCCAUCUUCCAAACAAAGAACCACAACCCCAAAAUUAAAAUUGCUAGGGUUCUUUACAUCUGCCAGAUUCACCAUUUUGUUUGGCAAUCGACAGUAUACCACCAUGAAGAGAUCCAUGCCACGUUCAUGAAAAUAUUAUUUGGUCGUACAGUGGAGGUGUGCGCGCGAGGAAUCACUCGUGGGAGUUCCAAUUUUUGGCCUAUUCUGGUACAUUCCAGAAGCUCCUAGUGCUGCUGAGAAUUUUGGGUGUAUUGGGCCUCGAGUUUUAGGGCUAAUUCUUAUUGGGUUUGGGGACUUAGAAUUUGGGCAUCUGUUAUGUAAUUGGGGCUAAAAUUUUGGAGUAUUUGGUUAGAAAAUGAGUUUAUUAGAAUUGGGUUUUAAUUUUAUGUAAAGGGUUUUAGGGUAUUUGUUUAAUUGGGUUAGGUGUUUUGUAAAUGGGCCCGGAUAAAAUGGGCUUAUUACAAAAUGUAUGGUUUAAAAUUAAUUAAUAAUAACACAUGAAAUAUGUACGUUAUUAAAAUGGAAAAA